AGCGUAGGCCGUCAGGCAAGCGUGUUGUGAAAUGUCGUGGCUCAACCAUGGACUUGCAGCGCGAACUGCCCGACUUGAGUGCGCGGAAAGCAGGCGGAAUUUGUGGUGUAGCGGUGAAAUGCUUAGAUAUCACGAAGAACCCCGAUUGCGAAGGCAGCCUGCUGUAGCGCUACUGAGCUGAGCUCGAAAGUGCGGUAUCGAACA
rnacentral:rRNA from 1 species